rnacentral:tRNA from 3 species
GGGCGCGUAGCUCAGCGGGAGAGCACCACGUUGACAUCGUGGGGGUCACAGGUUCGAUCCCUGUCGCGCCCACCA